rnacentral:rRNA from 1 species
GGCGAUCAGAUACCGCCCUAGUUCUGACCGUAAACGAUGCCAACUAGCGAUCCGCCAGUCGACUCAUCGCUCUGGUGGGGAGCUUCCCGGAAACGAAAGUCUUCCGGUUCCGAGGGAAGUAUGGUUGCAAAGCUGAAACUUAAAGGAAUUGACGGAAGGGCACCACCAGGAGUGGAGCCUGCGGCUUAAUUUGACUCAACACGGGGAAACUCACCCGGCCCGGACACCGUAAGGAUUGACAGAUUGAUAGCUUUUUCAUGAUUCGGUGGAUGGUGGUGCAUGGCCGUUCUUAGUUCGUGGAGCGAUUUGUCUGGUUUAUUCCGAUAACGAGCGAGACUCUGGCCUACUAAAUAGUUGACACAUUGCCACUGUGCGCACAACUUCUUAGAGGGAUUUUCGGUGUUUUCAACCGCACGAAAUUGAGCAAUAACAGGUCUGUGAUGCCCUUAGAUGUCCGGGGCUGCACGCGCGCUACACUGGCAAACGCAACGUGCCUGUCCUGCCCCGAAAGAAGCGGGUAAACCCCUGAAAUUUUGCCGUGAUUGGGAUCGGACAUUGCAACUAUUGUCCGUGAACGAGGAAUUCCUUGUAGGGGCGAGUCAUCAACUCGUCCCGAAUACGUCCCUGCCCUUGUA